UGUUCUGUUUUUUUUUUUGGUUUU
rnacentral:sRNA from 1 species